AUCAGGAAGAAAGCUUGCUUUCUUUGCUGGCGACCGGCGCACGGGUGAGUAACACGUAUCCAACCUGCCCUUUACUCGGGGAUAGCCUUUCGAAAGAAAGAUUAAUACCCGAUGGGAUAAUUAUUCCGCAUGGUUUGAUUAUUAAAGGAUUCCGGUAAAGGAUGGGGAUGCGUUCCAUUAGGUUGUUGGUGAGGUAACGGCUCACCAAGCCUUCGAUGGAUAGGGGUUCUGAGAGGAAGGUCCCCCACAUUGGAACUGAGACACGGUCCAAACUCCUACGGGAGGCAGCAGUGAGGAAUAUUGGUCAAUGGGCGCUAGCCUGAACCAGCCAAGUAGCGUGAAGGAUGAAGGCUCUAUGGGUCGUAAACUUCUUUUAUAUAAGAAUAAAGUGCAGUAUGUAUACUGUUUUGUAUGUAUUAUAUGAAUAAGGAUCGGCUAACUCCGUGCCAGCAGCCGCGGUAAUACGGAGGAUCCGAGCGUUAUCCGGAUUUAUUGGGUUUAAAGGGAGCGUAGGUGGACUGGUAAGUCAGUUGUGAAAGUUUGCGGCUCAACCGUAAAAUUGCAGUUGAUACUGUCAGUCUUGAGUACAGUAGAGGUGGGCGGAAUUCGUGGUGUAGCGGUGAAAUGCUUAGAUAUCACGAAGAACUCCGAUUGCGAAGGCAGCUCACUGGACUGCAACUGACACUGAUGCUCG
rnacentral:rRNA from 1 species